AGUGAACGCUGGCGGUAUGCCUAACACAUGCAAGUCGAACGGCAGCACAGUAAGAGCUUGCUCUUACGGGUGGCGAGUGGCGGACGGGUAGGAAUACAUCGGAAUCUACUUUUUCGUGGGGGAUAACGUAGGGAAACUUACGCUAAUACCGCAUACGACCUACGUGUGAAAGCAGGGGAUCGUCGUACCUUGCGCGAUUGAAUAAGCCGAUGUCGGAUUAGCUAGUUGGCGGGGUAAAGGCCCACCAAGGCGACGAUCCGUAGCUGGUCUGAGAGGAUGAUCAGCCAGACUGGAACUGAGACACGGUCCAGACUCCUACGGGAGGCAGCAGUGGGGAAUAUUGGACAAUGGGCGAAAGCCUGAUCCAGCAAUACCGCGUGAGUGAAGAAGGACUUCGGGUCGUAAAGCCCUUUUGUUGGGAAAGAAAAGAAGCAGGUUAAUACCCCGCUGUUCUGACGGUACCCAAAGAAUAAGCACCGGCUAACUUCGUG
rnacentral:rRNA from 1 species